rnacentral:lncRNA from 1 species
CAAGUGUAGGUUAUUAUGUGCUAUAUGAGUUGGUUGUCCUCUUAAUCAAGGAGUGUGGAGACACUGUUAUGGCAUGCAGAUAGAAUGUAGGAGUACAUUCACAUUGAACAUGAUCAGGUAUCGAGCACUCUACUGUCAAGAGUAGCUUAUGAAGGGUAUGGGUAUAAGUGUCCCUCCGAUCUGAGACUACUACGGUGACUUGUAAGCAACUCACUGUACUUUAGUACCAGACUAUCUGAGUUUCUAACUUAGUGACGGA